rnacentral:rRNA from 1 species
AACGAACGCUGGCGGCGUGCCUAAGACAUGCAAGUCGUGCGGAAAGGCUCCUUCGGGAGUACUCGAGCGGCGCACGGGUGAGUAACACGUGGGUAACCUACCUGAGGGUCUGGGAUAACUCCGGGAAACUGGGGCUAAUACCAGAUGAGACCACAGCGUCUUCGGGCGCAGCGGUCAAAGAUGGCCUCUCCUUGGAAGCUAUCGCCUACAGAUGAGCCCGCGUCCCAUAGCUAGUUGGCGGGGUAACGGCCCACCAAGGCGACGAUGGGUAGCUGGUCUGAGAGGAUGAUCAGCCACACUGGAACUGAGACACGGUCCAGACUCCUACGGGAGGCAGCAGUCGGGAAUUUUGGGCAAUGGGCGAAAGCCUGACCCAGCAACGCCGCGUGAGGGAUGAAGGCCU